UGAGAAAAGAACAUUAAAUUCUGUCAUGUUUAUUACUCUGACAAACAAGUAAUGCUCAUGUAGUUGUGUGUAUAGUGUGUGUUAACAUCACAGGAGUGUGUAUCAGGGGCUUUGUGUGUAUAGUGUGUGUUAACAUCACAGGAGAGUGUAUCAGGGGCUGAUUGUGUGUAUAGUGUGUGUUAACAUCACAGGAGUGUGUAUCAGGGGCUGUGUGUAUCAGGAAGCUGAUUUAGCUGACAGAUGAAUUCAGUUUAGUUUGUUAUAACUCUGGGGUUUAGGCUCCAAGAAAGUGUUUGU